rnacentral:lncRNA from 1 species
CUUAUGUGGAACGUAUAUAUAAACUAUUAAAACAUAAGUACAAAUAAGAAUAAACUAUUAAAACAUAAGUACAAAUAAGAAUUACCCCUUAAACUUAUAACUUAUUUACAAUCAUAUGCCACUGGAAUAAUUAAUAAAUCUAAUGUUAAGUAUUUAUUAUAUUUUCCUUAUUUAAUUAGAAUUAAAACAACUACUUCCUAUAAUCUAGCUAACCAAUAAAUUUACCAUAUUUUGAUACUCUAUGCAAUCAAUUAAAAAUAAAUUUCUAUUAUUGAUAUUGCUUUUAUGUUGUAAUUAAACAAACAUACGCAUUUUCUUUAUUUAAUCCAGUGUAACAAUGCAAAUAAACUCCCCCACCC